UUAGUACUUCCUCCGUCCCAUAUUAAGUGCCGAAAUAUUACAUGCAUCUAGAUGUAUUUUAGUAUAUAGAUACAUCCGUAUUUAGAUAAAUUUGAGUCAUUUAAUAUGAGACGGAGGGAAUACAAA
rfam:Brachypodium distachyon strain Bd21 chromosome 3, whole genome shotgun sequence.